AUGUUAUUGAUGCUACCACUCACAGACAGGUGGGAGGAGAUCUCUGCUCACAAGGAGGAUCUCAGUGCUCCAGAUAUGAGUGGGAUGAGCCAUGUCUCAUGCUUUCUACAAUGGAUUUUAACUUAAGCUCUAGGACCCAAGAAGCACUGAGAAUUUCCCCUGGAGUCAGGCUGUAUCCCAGCCCUUCUGCAGAACAAGAUUCAGAUCCUCAGACUGAGGAGCUUCCAUACCAAGGUUCACACUCACAACGGAUUACUGCAUGGUUGCAGACUUGGGGCCAAGAAUGAUUCAGAGAAAUAAUCAACUGGGACUUCCUCUCAGAAUUUGCCACCCACCUGAACUGUAAACAUCCCAUCUGAGCCGCCAUUCAUAAUGCAGAGAAGUAAACCAGGUUAGCGUUACUGGGUGUCUUUCUUCUCUGCUUUUUUAAUAUCAAAAGAAGGCUAUAUUGAUAAAGCAUAUACAAUUCCAUAUAUUACAGCAUGCAGAACUGCAUUUUGAGAACGUUCAAUUCUCAGGAUGAGAAGAAACGUUGCACCUCUUUGUGGAGUAAAGCUGCCUCAUCUUGUUGGAGAAAGGAAUGCCAAACAAGCCCAAAAUAGCCUCGGAAAUGUUAGUGGAACAAAAGAUUUCAAGUAUAAGACUCAGAUUUGUACACUGUAAGUCGCAGCAGAGGGAAGGGGAUUUUUGGGCACAACCUUAUCUCAGCUCUUCUUUAUAUUUGCAGUGAUCUUUCUAGAAUGAAAACGCUGAGUGUGGGAAAACUUAGCAGUCACUAAGCACAAUGUCCCCUACACCGUCUGCUUUGUGUACGUAUUAACCAUAGAUUAGAUUGCAUGCACAGCACACCUACCCUGUCUCUGUUAUUAAAGUGCAUAUGGUUUAACAAACACUAAUGACAGACUCUUUUUAUUAGCUUUGCUAUGUGCUCUCACAAUUACUGUCACUCAGUAGGGUUUAUAACUUCCUGCUCUAAUAGAAGGCUGCACCUUGCCUGCCAGUGGGCUCUGCACUUGCUUACUGGUUUCAGUAGAAAUGUAUUUGAGCUGCCCAUUGGACCUCAGAUGAUUGUUAUCUUGUAAAUUGUGGCAGCCUACAAAAAUUAAUUUCUUAAAUUUGGUUUGAAAUGUGCGGGGGGUGGACUCCUCAUAUCUUUUCAUUCAAUACCUCUGAAUUAGUGACUUUUCAAUAAUUUCAAAGAGUACCACUAGAACUAUUUGGGUCUGAAAUCACCCAUUCUCCAUUGACC
rnacentral:lncRNA from 1 species